GGGGGCAGGGCGGCUGGGGAGGCCCAGGCGGCGGAGCCUCCGGGACGGCGAACGGCGGGCCGCGGAGAAGGAGACGGCGGGUCGGGCAUUUUUAAAAUAUUUAAUCAUUCAUGAGUUGAGCUUCAUUCUUGAGUCAUGGAUGACAAGGCUUCUGUUGGAAAAAUCAGUGUCUCCUCAGACUCUGUGUCUACUCUUAAUAGUGAAGAUUUUGUCUUGGUUUCCAGGCAAGGAGAUGAGACACCAUCUACAAAUAAUGGAAGUGAUGACGAGAAAACAGGACUCAAGAUUAUAGGGAAUGGAAGUGAACAGCAGCUGCAAAAAGAGCUAGCAGAUGUGCUGAUGGAUCCUCCAAUGGACGACCAGCCAGGGGACAAGGAGCUUGUGGAAAGGUCACAAUUGGAUGGCGAAGGAGAUGGGCCUCUUUCUAAUCAACUCUCAGCUUCAUCCACCAUUAACCCUGUGUCAUUAGUAGGGCUCCAGAAACCAGAGAUGAGCCUGCCAGUGAAACCUGGACAAGGAGAUUCUGAAGGGUCUAGUCCUUUCACACCAGUGGCUGAUGAGGACAGUGUAGUUUUCAGCAAACUAACUUAUUUAGGCUGUGCUUCAGUAAAUGCUCCCAGGAGUGAAGUGGAAGCCUUAAGGAUGAUGUCCAUCUUAAGGGGCCAGUGUCAGAUUUCACUAGAUGUAACCCUGUCAGUGCCGAAUGUAUCUGAAGGAACUGUGAGACUCUUAGAUCCUCAGACAAACACUGAAAUAGCAAACUACCCUAUCUACAAAAUCCUCUUCUGUGUUAGGGGGCAUGAUGGAACUCCUGAGAGUGACUGUUUUGCUUUCACUGAAAGUCAUUACAAUGCAGAGCUCUUCAGAAUACAUGUCUUCCGGUGUGAAAUACAAGAAGCUGUGAGCCGGAUACUUUACAGUUUUGCCACUGCCUUCCGCCGUUCUGCCAAGCAGACCCCCCUCUCAGCAACUACUGCACCUCAGACUCCUGACAGUGACAUCUUUACCUUCUCUGUGUCUUUAGAAAUAAAAGAAGAUGAUGGUAAAGGUUAUUUUAGUGCAGUUCCUAAAGAUAAAGACAGACAAUGCUUUAAACUACGCCAAGGAAUUGAUAAAAAGAUUGUCAUCUAUGUGCAACAAACAACUAAUAAGGAACUUGCCAUUGAAAGGUGUUUUGGUCUUCUCCUUAGCCCAGGAAAAGAUGUACGAAAUAGUGACAUGCACUUGUUAGAUUUGGAAUCUAUGGGCAAAAGUUCAGAUGGAAAAUCCUAUGUUAUUACUGGGAGCUGGAAUCCAAAAUCCCCACAUUUUCAGAUUGUAAAUGAAGAAACUCCUAAAGAUAAAGUGCUGUUUAUGACGACAGCUGUUGAUUUAGUAAUAACAGAAGUGCAGGAGCCUGUUCGCUUUCUCCUAGAGACAAAAGUCCGAGUUUGCUCACCUAAUGAAAGAUUAUUCUGGCCCUUCAGCAAACGUAGUACUACUGAAAAUUUCUUUUUGAAACUAAAACAGAUAAAGCAAAAGGAGAGAAAGAACAAUACUGACACUUUAUAUGAAGUUGUAUGCUUGGAAAGUGAAUCAGAGAGAGAGAGGAGGAAAACUACAGCCAGUCCCUCAAUUCGCCUGCCACAGUCUGGAUCUCAGAGUUCAAUGAUUCCUUCUCCUCCAGAAGACGAUGAAGAGGAAGAUAACGAUGAACCUCUCUUGAGUGGAUCUGGUGAUGUAUCCAAAGAAUGUGCAGAGAAAAUUCUUGAAACAUGGGGAGAACUGCUGUCUAAAUGGCAUCUUAACUUGAGUGUGAGGCCAAAGCAGUUGUCAUCCUUAGUAAGAAGCGGUGUUCCUGAAGCUCUUCGAGGAGAAGUCUGGCAGCUGCUAGCAGGUUGUCACAACAAUGACCACCUGGUAGAAAAGUACCGAAUUCUCAUCACAAAGGAGUCUCCCCAGGACAGUGCUAUCACUCGUGAUAUUAACCGGACAUUCCCAGCGCAUGACUACUUUAAGGACACAGGAGGAGAUGGACAAGAUUCCUUAUAUAAAAUAUGCAAGGCUUAUUCUGUGUAUGAUGAAGAAAUUGGCUAUUGCCAGGGCCAGUCAUUUCUUGCUGCUGUUCUGCUUCUCCAUAUGCCUGAGGAACAGGCAUUCAGUGUUCUGGUCAAGAUCAUGUUUGACUAUGGUCUCAGGGAACUUUUCAAGCAAAACUUUGAAGAUUUGCAUUGCAAAUUUUACCAGUUGGAGCGCCUCAUGCAGGAAUACAUUCCUGACUUGUACAACCACUUCCUGGAUAUAAGCCUUGAAGCACACAUGUAUGCCUCCCAGUGGUUUCUUACGCUCUUCACUGCAAAAUUCCCUCUCUACAUGGUCUUCCAUAUCAUCGACCUGCUUUUAUGUGAGGGAAUAAGUGUUAUUUUUAACGUCGCCCUUGGAUUAUUAAAGACUUCCAAAGAUGACUUACUAUUGACAGACUUUGAAGGUGCGCUGAAGUUCUUCAGGGUUCAGCUUCCUAAGAGAUAUCGCUCAGAAGAAAAUGCAAAAAAACUGAUGGAAUUAGCUUGCAACAUGAAGAUUAGUCAGAAGAAGUUGAAAAAAUAUGAAAAAGAAUAUCACACCAUGAGGGAACAGCAGGCCCAACAAGAAGACCCCAUCGAGCGAUUUGAGCGGGAGAAUAGGCGUCUACAAGAAGCUAACAUGAGGUUGGAACAGGAAAAUGAUGACUUAGCCCAUGAGCUGGUGACCAGUAAGAUUGCACUGCGAAAGGACCUGGAUAACGCUGAGGAAAAGGCAGAUGCACUGAAUAAGGAGCUGCUUAUGACCAAACAGAAAUUGAUUGAUGCAGAGGAAGAGAAAAGACGGCUGGAAGAAGAGUCUGCUCAGUUAAAAGAAAUGUGCCGUCGGGAACUCGACAAGGCAGAAUCUGAGAUUAAAAAAAACAGUUCUAUCAUCGGUGACUACAAGCAGAUUUGUUCUCAGUUGAGUGAAAGAUUAGAGAAGCAGCAGACUGCUAAUAAAGUGGAAAUUGAAAAAAUUCGGCAAAAUGUGGAUGACUGUGAGCGCUGCCGGGAAUUUUUCAACAAAGAAGGGCGCAUAAAGGGCAUCAGCUCAGCUAAGGAAGUUUUGGAUGAGGACACAGAUGAGGAGAAGGAAACACUCAAGAACCAGCUGAGAGAGAUGGAACUGGAACUGGCACAAACCAAGCUGCAGCUGGUGGAAGCUGAGUGUAAGAUCCAGGACUUGGAGCACCAUUUAGGCCUUGCCCUCAACGAGGUACAGGCGGCCAAGAAGACGUGGUUUAACCGAACACUGAGCUCCAUAAAGACGGCAACCGGGGUUCAAGGGAAAGAGACUUGCUGAGAGCAGCUGCUGCCUCCAGACACCUUCAGAAAACAUGACACCUUUUGUUGCCUUCUUUGGCCAGAUGUGUGAUUCUGUGACAUGUCCCAGGACCAGAAUGUACCUAAGUCAGAUCCAUAGAAGCAUGUGGGUAGGUUGUUGGACCAGAGCUCAUGAAGCAGGCAGCCUGUGCGGUAAGGCCCUCCUCACUCCUGAUACUAACAGGCCUGCCGGCUGGCCUGCCACCCUGGACGUUCCAGAAAGCCACUCCUCCGUGUGACCUCCGGGCCUCUUCCCGGUUAGGUCAGCUCCUCACCCAGCCCAGCGGCUGAGUGACAUUAUCAGAGUCUGGGGAUCCUUCAGGCCUUUGGUUUUUUUCUAAACCUUUAAUCUUUUUUUUUAAAAUACACAUAUUAUUAUAUAUUGGGGGAGGUGGGGCAGGGGAUCGGUAGCUCAAAUAAUUAUCUGCUCCAGUGCCAGCAGAGGGUCCUCCAGGUAGACAUGGAGAAGCACUUUGUUUUAAAUAGGAGGGUUUCAUGGUUGUAGGUGAAGCCACCUAGUUUUGUUAAACUAACUCUACGAUGCACAGGUUUUUGGUUUGGCAUUAUUCACAUGUUUCUGAUCAAUUCUAUGCAACUCUCAUAGUUCCUGUUGUUUUUAGUGUUAGCUGCCAAAUGACUCCCCAGUGCUGGGGUGGGUGACUUGACUGACUGUUGAGACUGGAUUAAUCAUAACGUGGACAAACCUUAUUUUGCUUAAUGUGUCGUGUGUGUGUGUAUAUAUAAAUAUCUUUUCCCAAUGCACCCAAUUGACAGUGUUUAAAUCCCAGACUAGGACUGAUCUGCACAACUUAAUUAUGUGGUUAUUUUGGGCACUUAAUUUCACUCAAGGUUUGUCGGGCUCUGCUCUCCACCCUGCUGUCGCGAGAGCUGUGAAGAGCUCCCUCACUUCAAGGUUCUAGUGUUUUUGCACAACAGCUUGUACAAGUGAGAAAGACUCUGAGGUGUGUGUGUGUAUGUAUGUGUGUGUGUAAAUGUGAGGAUGUGCAGGACACACAUGCCAAGAGGCCCCCGUCCGGCUGGCCUGUGUCCCUGCCUGCCGGGGCCCUCCCCGGAGUGAGGCUGGGUGCAAACCUCGCUGUUCAGAUGGGCUGCAAGUUCUCACUUCAGAACUAUGGAAUAGAGGUUUUAGCACCUUUUUUAUAAACAAAAUAACUUUAGACUUUUAAUUUAUAUAGUGAUAUGCUGACAGGCUGUCUCGCAGAUGACUUUGUCGUCUUCUCUGCGUGCAGUGUGGAGGUCGCUGGUUACAAGAGGCACUGGUUUGUACAUAAAGACACCUGGGUUGUUUUGUAUCUCUUUUCCUGUUGGCUGUAUUAACGCUUGCUGAGGUCAUCUGUGAUCAGGGAGGUAACAAGCGGCAACCCCUGACCCCCAAACCAUCCCCUCCACCGCUUUCUGUGUCUUUCUUGUUCAGUUACCAAAACAGCUGUAAGCCCAUCUAAAACUAGGUGCGUGGACAUUGUGCUAGGGUAGUUUCAGUGUGUCAACUUUAUGAAUUGAAAUAUAAACCAGUAAAAUUGUAUUACUAUUUCUUUUGUUGGCUUUAUUUUAACGGCAUAUUCAUUAAAUAUUUUGGUACAAACAGCAUUGCUUUGUAACAACCAGUUUGGUGUGCUCUUGCCUCCCUCCCACGGGCAGUCAGAGAAGACCACCCUCUGGGCUGGCAAAUAGGUGUACUUGAGCACUGGGCAGCGCCUCCCCGUUCAUCCAUUCAGACACUUAAUGAGCAGCUAAUGUGCUCCAGGCCCAUGGGGUGAGAGAAGACACAGGCUUUGUCCCCUGGGAGGCCUGUGCCUUCAUCGUGAGCAUUGCCUGUCUUGGAGAAAUAAAGUGAGACAUGACCUGUGUAUUUGAGGGUUAGGGAAGUCUUAUAGGAGGUAAGGGUGUGUGUGGUAAGACCUUGAAAGACAAAAGCAUCUCACCAGGCAGAGAUGGGAGAGGGAAUUGCAGGCCCAAAAUGUGAAUGUGCAGGGGAAAUGGCUGAAGAGCAGAAAGGCCGAGUACCCGAGGUCCAGUUAUGCUCUGCUGGAACUUUCAAGGGAAGUGGUGGCAUGGCCAGCAGGUACCUCUUUCCGAGAGCUCCUUUCUGUUCCCUGCUGGUCAUCCCACACCGCGGCACCAUAGGAACGAGGCUCCCAGACCCUUGGCCGUCCUUUACCACCUCGCCCCCUUCUCUGCAGCAGGAAGAAGAGCAGUGCUUCCCCAACCCGACGGUCCCCUCCUUGCUUGACCUGCCCUCCAGGACCCCCUACACCCAGCCUUUGGAUGGAAGCGGGCUGAGAUGCAGGCCAUGAAGAAGGGAAGGUGUUGUCGCAACACCCCUGUGAGUUAAGUGACGUUAUCCCCAGAUUUGAAAGUGAAGGUGAAAGGCCCGUGAUGACGAGAUCUGGGAUGUCAAUGCUUUGUACCAGCACCCGCUGCCCCGAAAGGGCCCACCUCUCACUCAAAAUCUGAGGUCCUUCUGGGCAAGAGCUGCACACCUAACAGAUGCGCAGGAAGCCUUCGUGGGAAGACAGAUGGGUCCAGGCAGCAGACGGGAGGAAGCUUCCAGUCAUGAUUGAGCCAGAGGGUGAGUAACCGCCACAGUCCAAGGCAGGGAUUGGCGAAGUGUGGCCUGCAGCCACGCCUGUCUGUCUACCUUCUGCCUCUGGCUGCGUGGGUGCUGCUGGAACGGCAGAGCUCAGCAGCUGUGACAGAGCGAAUGGGCCACAAGCCUGGAAGAGUUACUCCCUGGACCUUUCCAGAAAGUUUGUCGACACCAGGCCUAAGGCAGCGUUCCCAUCAACUUCCACACGGUGACACGCAAAAAGGUGAUUUUUCUGUGGCCCACUGGGCUAAACAAACAAGGCCGCUUGUAGUUAGAGACACCUGGUCACCCCAAAGGCCGAUGCAAUCAGUGUCUCAGUGAACCCUAAAGGCUCAAAACCACCACCGCCUUUUUAGCCCCCGUCCCCAACAGAGGUAUAGAAACACAAGUGCAGAAACCUACCCCGACUCCUCCUCGGGUCUCCCUGCCCACCUGUGCAGAACGAGCCAGCGGUGGCAGGACAGACACAAAACUGAGGCCCAAAGCAAAUUCUCUAGUAAUCUUACAAUUGCGCCUUUUUCCCUUCCCUGUAGCACUCUGUGGAGCAAGUGCGUACCUUCCCCCGGCUAAAGACCCUGCUCCACAAAUGCUGAAUCCAAUGAACUCCAGCCCUUGCCCAGGUGUUGCAGCAAACUAGAAGAGAGAAGCAUCCAAGUCAACAGCCUUCUAAGCAUGCCACCCGGUCUCCUCUUUCUUUUCUGUGAUUUAUAGUAACUUGCGUUCUACCUGCCAAAUAAAUG